AUCUGUGAUGCUUGUGGUGGAUCCGUGAGAGUUGGCAACUAUGCUCUAUAUAUACAUGUAUUGUAAUUUAUAUAUUCUUUACCAUUUAUUGAGUCAUCGGCUGUUCCAAUGUACAUGUUUAUCGGUUGAAAUCAGUUUACUACAGUUCUACUUCUCUCUAUUUUUAUCUGUAGGUUUUAUGGUACAACGGGGUCAUGCGGGGCUGGUAUCUAUAUUGCACAAAAAU